UGCAGUCGAGCGGAGAUUUGAAAAGCUUGCUUUUCAAAUCUUAGCGGCGGACGGGUGAGUAACACGUGGGCAACCUGCCCUUGAGACGGGGAUAACUCCGGGAAACCGGAGCUAAUACCGGAUAACACAUAUCUUCGCAUGAGGAUAUGUUAGAAGGUGGCUUUUAGCUACCACUCAAGGAUGGGCCCGCGGCGCAUUAGCUAGUUGGUGAGGUAACGGCUCACCAAGGCGACGAUGCGUAGCCGACCUGAGAGGGUGAUCGGCCACACUGGGACUGAGACACGGCCCAGACUCCUACGGGAGGCAGCAGUAGGGAAUCUUCCGCAAUGGACGAAAGUCUGACGGAGCAACGCCGCGUGAGUGAUGAAGGUUUUCGGAUCGUAAAGCUCUGUUGUUAGGGAAGAACAAGUACCUGUUGAAUAAGCAGGUACCUUGACGGUACCUAACCAGAAAGCCACGGCUAACUACGUGCCAGCAGCCGCGGUAAUACGUAGGUGGCAAGCGUUGUCCGGAAUUAUUGGGCGUAAAGCGCGCGCAGGCGGUUCCUUAAGUCUGAUGUGAAAGCCCACGGCUCAACCGUGGAGGGUCAUUGGAAACUGGGGAACUUGAGUGCAGAAGAGGAGAGCGGAAUUCCACGUGUAGC
rnacentral:rRNA from 2 species